rnacentral:rRNA from 1 species
UACGGGGGGGGUAAGCGUUGUUCGGAAUUACUGGGCGUAAAGGGCUCGUAGGCGGCCAACUAAGUCAGACGUGAAAUCCCUCAGCUUAACUGGGGAACUGCGUCUGAUACUGGAUGGCUUGGAUUCGGGAGAGGAAUGCGGAAUUCCAGGUGUAGCGGUGAAAUGCGUAGAUAUCAGGAAGAACACCCGUGGCGAAGGCGGUUCUCUGGAACGCAACUGACGCUGAGACGCGAAAGCGUGGGGAGCAAACAGG